rnacentral:RNase_P_RNA from 1 species
GAAGCCCGCCAGACCGCCGCCGGCGCAAGGCCCGAAAGGGCGCGCUGGAGGAACGUCCGGACUGCACAGGGCAGCGCAGGAGCUAACGGCUCUCCGCCGCGAGGCGAGGAUUAGAGCAACAGAGACGAGUCGCGCCGGGCAACCGGCGCGGGUGAAACGGGCAAUCUCUGCGCGCAGCAACACCAAGCAGUUGGCGCUUGAGGCGGCCCGCCGAGCCAACGGGUAGGUGGCACCGAGCCGGGCGGGCAACCCCCGGCCCAGAAGAAUGGCGGUCACGGUCUGGGCAACCAGGCCGCACAGAAUCCGGCCUAUCGGCGGACUUCACAC